CUACCAUGCAGUCGAGCGGUAGAGAGAAGCUUGCUUCUCUUGAGAGCGGCGGACGGGUGAGUAAUGCCUAGGAAUCUGCCUGGUAGUGGGGGAUAACGCUCGGAAACGGACGCUAAUACCGCAUACGUCCUACGGGAGAAAGCAGGGGACCUUCGGGCCUUGCGCUAUCAGAUGAGCCUAGGUCGGAUUAGCUAGUUGGUGAGGUAAUGGCUCACCAAGGCGACGAUCCGUAACUGGUCUGAGAGGAUGAUCAGUCACACUGGAACUGAGACACGGUCCAGACUCCUACGGGAGGCAGCAGUGGGGAAUAUUGGACAAUGGGCGAAAGCCUGAUCCAGCCAUGCCGCGUGUGUGAAGAAGGUCUUCGGAUUGUAAAGCACUUUAAGUUGGGAGGAAGGGCAUUAACCUAAUACGUUAGUGUUUUGACGUUACCGACAGAAUAAGCACCGGCUAACUCUGUGCCAGCAGCCGCGGUAAUACAGAGGGUGCAAGCGUUAAUCGGAAUUACUGGGCGUAAAGCGCGCGUAGGUGGUUCGUUAAGUUGGAUGUGAAAUCCCCGGGCUCAACCUGGGAACUGCAUUCAAAACUGUCGAGCUAGAGUAUGGUAGAGGGUGGUGGAAUUUCCUGUGUAGCGGUGAAAUGCGUAGAUAUAGGAAGGAACACCAGUGGCGAAGGCGACCACCUGGACUGAUACUGACACUGAGGUGCGAAAGCGUGGGGAGCAAACAGGAUUAGAUACCCUGGUAGUCCACGCCGUAAACGAUGUCAACUAGCCGUUGGGAGCCUUGAGCUCUUAGUGGCGCAGCUAACGCAUUAAGUUGACCGCCUGGGGAGUACGGCCGCAAGGUUAAACUCAAUGAAUU
rnacentral:rRNA from 1 species